CUCCGGUUGAUCCGCCCGGACCCGACUGCUAUCAGAGUGGGACUAAGCCAUGCGAGUCAACAUAGCAAUAUGUGGCAUACGGCUCAGUAACACGUAGUCAACAUGCCCAGGGGACGUGGAUAACCUCGGGAAACUGAGGAUAAACCGCGAUAGGUCAUCACUUCUGGAAUGGGUAAUGACUUAAAUCUAUAUGGCCCCUGGAUUGGACUGCGGCCGAUCAGGCUGUUGGUGAGGUAAUGGCCCACCAAACCUGUAACCGGUACGGGCUCUGAGAGGAGGAGCCCGGAGAUGGGCACUGAGACAAGGGCCCAGGCCCUAUGGGGCGCAGCAGGCGCGAAACCUCUGCAAUAGGCGAAAGCUUGACAGGGUUACUCUGAGUGAUUUCCGUUAAGGAGAUCUUUUGGCACCUCUAAAAAUGGUGCAGAAUAAGGGGUGGGCAAGUCUGGUGUCAGCCGCCGCGGUAAUACCAGCACCCCGAGUGGUCGGGACGUUUAUUGGGCCUAAAGCAUCCGUAGCCGGUUCUACAAGUCUUCCGUUAAAUCCACCUGCUUAACAGAUGGGCUGCGGAAGAUACUAUAGAGCUAGGAGGCGGGAGAGGCAAGCGGUACUCGAUGGGUAGGGGUAAAAUCCGUUGAUCCAUUGAAGACCACCAGUGGCGAAGGCGGCUUGCCAGAACGCGCUCGACGGUGAGGGAUGAAAGCUGGGGGAGCAAACCGGAUUAGAUACCCGGGUAGUCCCAGCUGUAAACGAUGCAGACUCGGUGAUGAGUUGGCUUAUUGCUAACUCAGUGCCGCAGGGAAGCCGUUAAGUUUGCCGCCUGGGGAGUACGGUCGCAAGACUGAAACUUAAAGGAUUGGCGGGGGAGCA
rnacentral:rRNA from 1 species